rnacentral:rRNA from 1 species
GACGGAGGGUGCAAGCGUUGUUCGGAAUUACUGGGCGUAAAGCGCGGGCAGGUGGCCUUUUAAGUCCUUUGUGAAAUUCCGGAGCUCAACUCCGGAUGUGCAUAGGAUACUGGAAGGCUAGAGACUGGUAGAGGCGAGCGGAAUUCCUGGUGUAGCGGUGGAAUGCGUAGAUAUCAGGAAGAACACCGGUGGCGAAGGCGGCAUCCUGGACCGGUAUUGACGCUGAUGCGCGAAAGCCAGGGGAGCAAACGGG